GAAGAACUGAUGCUUUUGAACUGUGGUGUUGGAGAAGACUCUUGAGAGUCCCUUGGACUGCAAGGAGAUCCAACCAGUCCAUUCUGAAGGAGAUCAGCCCUGGGAUUUCUUUGGAAGGAAUGAUACUGAAGCCGAAACUCCAGUACUUUGGCCACCUCAUGCGAACAGUAUUGGAAAAAUCCUUCUCUGGAAAAAAGUUGACUGAGGUCAACUAUUAGGAUAUCCUCCUGAAAUUAUGUUCAACAUUUUCCUUCAGGCUUCCUCAAUGGCUCAGCAGGUAAAGAAUCUGCCUGCAAAGCAGAUGACACAAGAGAUGCAGCUUUGAUCCCUGGGUGGGAAAGAUUCCCUAGAGGAGGAAAGUGG
ensembl:lncRNA